AUUUAAUUUAUAUUUAUUUCAACAUUUAAAAUUUAAUUUUGAUCCAUUAUAAUUAAAUUUUUUGGAUAAGAAUGCUACUUUUUAACAGAUUAAUCAUAAAAAAUUUGGAUAAGCAUAAAUAUUUUUCUGUUAUAGAAAUAAAGAGGAAUUAAGAUUUUGUUUAUUUCUAUUAUUUAUUGUACGCAAGAAAAGAGGAAUCAAUAUUUUUUCUCGUAAUGGGUCUGUCAACAGACGAAAUUUGAAAUACGUGUUUUUAUAUAUAGUAUAGAUAGUAUAGAUAAAAUUUAUGGAUAAGAAUGUUAUUUUUUAACAGAUUAAUUAUAAAAAAUUGAGAUAAGCAUAAAUAUUUUUUUGUUAUAGAAAUAAAGAGGAAUUAUACCUUGUG
rnacentral:lncRNA from 1 species